GCCUGUACUUCCUGCGGAAACUCAGGCGAGCGAGCGCUCCUCCGGCCGUCAUGACUACAUUUUACCGCGGCACCAUUGAGAGCGUCCUCUCCAGCUGUAUUGCUGUUUGGGGUGGCGGCUGCACUGACUACAACUUGAAGGCCCUGCAGCGCAUAGUGAACACGGCUGGUAAGAUUAUUGGUGCCUUGCUCCCCUCCUUGAAGGACAUUUACACCUCCCAUCUCACCCGCAAGGCGACCACGCUUGUGAGUGAUGUGAGUCACCCCCCUCACUCUUUGUUCGAGCUUCUGCCCUCUGGAAAGAUGUACAGAAGUCUGCGUUCCCGCACCACCAGACUCUCAAACAGCUUCAUACUCGAGGCUGUUAGGAUCCUGAACUCGCUUCCCCGUUCUGCGUAGCGUCCUGUACUUUUACUGUCUGAAUGCACACUGGCUCUUAUUUGUUGUGUUAUCUGUUUAUUUAUUAUUUAUUAUUACUCGGACGCCCUCUUCCUUCUCAGCCAGACUCCCAAUACUUUUCAGGCUUGGACGAUUUUGUUUUCUCCAGCGUGGAACUCAUCUCCCUGACUCUAAAGUAAGUUUGAAUCUUUUAUUACACUGUCGAUCUUUUUUUUUCACAGUUGGAGUGCCUGGGAGAGCGGAGGCUUCGUGGCCGUUUGUCUGCCGUCGAUCAUCGGACACAAAGUAUGGCUGCGGAUCGAGAGUGGCCGAUUCGGCUGGAGUUUGUUUUCUCUCCCUCUCCACCCCCUCCCUCCCCCCUCCCCGGCCGGGGAGGUGGUUAGGUGGCACCCAUGCUGACAGCGGCUAUCUGGAUUCUCGUGGGCCAAUUCAGGAUGGGGGAACUGCAGCUCAACCUCCUCGAAGACACUGCCAGGACAAUUGAGGGCUCCUUCGGCAGCCCUCUGCUAUGACAUGGACAUCCACUUUUUAUUUAAUUGAUUUUCAUGUUGUAUCAUUUGUGCCCUCUCUGCAUCCAUUUCAACCUGGUGAUCCUGAAAGGGGGAUCCUUCCAUCUGUGGUCCCUUCUCAAGGUUUCUCAUUUUCCCCUGCUAGGGGUUUUUAAGUUUUUCCUUGCCCUUUUGGGAGCUUAAGAUCAGGGGAUGCUUUGAGAAUAAUUGUCAAUUUCUGUCUAUGUGAAGCCCUUUGAGACUGCUUGUGAUUUAGGGCUAUACAAAUAAACUUGACUUGACUUGA